GCUGUUUUGGACAGGUGUUUUCAGUGUUAGCUGUUUUGGACAGGUGUUUUCGACGUUAGCUGUUUGGGACAGAAGUUUUUGGCAUUAGCUGUUAAGGACAGGUGUUUUCAACUUCAGCUGUUUGGGAAAGAUGUUUUUGGCAUUAGCUGUUAAGGACAGGUGUUUUCAACAUUAGCUGUUUGGGACAGAUGUUUUUGGCAUUAGCUGUUAAGGACAGGUGUUUUCAACGUUAGCUGUUUGGGACAGAUGUUUUUGGCAUUAGCUGUUAAGGACAGGUGUUUUCAACGUUAGCUGUUUGGGAAAGAUGUUUUUGCCAUUAGCUGUUAAGGACUGGUGUUUUCAACGUUAGCUGGUUGGGACAGAUGUUUUUGGCAUUAGCUGUUCUGGACAGGUGUUUUCGACGUUAGCUGUUUGGGAGAGAUGUUUUUGGCAUUAGCUGUUAAGGACAGGUGUUUUCAACGUUAGCUGUUUGGGAAAGAUAUUUUUGCCAUUAGCUGAUAAGGACUGGUGUUUUCAUCGUUAGCUGGUUGGGACAGAUGUUUUUGGCAUUAGCUGUUCUGGACAGGU